AUUGAACGCUGGCGGCAAGCCUAACACAUGCAAGUCGAACGAGUGGCGGACGGGUGAGUAAUGUCUGGGAAACUGCCUGAUGGAGGGGGAUAACUAAUGGAAAAGGUAGCUAAUACCGCAUACCAUCGGAUGUGCCCAGAUGGGAUUAGCGAGUAGGUGGGGUAAAGGCUCACCUAGGCUACGAUCCCUAGCUGGUCUGAGAGGAUGUCCAGCCACACUGGAACUGAUACAAGGUACAGGCUCCGUCGGGAGGCAGCAGUGGGGAAUAUUGAACAAUGGGCGCAAGCCUGAUGCAGCCAUGCCUCGUGUAUGAAGAAGGCCUUCGGGUUGUAAAGUACUUUCAGCUGGGAGGCGUUACCCGCAGAAGAAGCACCGGCUAACUCCGUGCCAGCAGCCGCGGUAAUAC
rnacentral:rRNA from 1 species